CCUACGGGAGGCAGCAGUGAGGAAUAUUGGUCAAUGGACGCAAGUCUGAACCAGCCAUGCCGCGUGCAGGAAGACGGCUCUAUGAGUUGUAAACUGCUUUUGUACGAGGGUAAACGCAGAUACGCGUAUCUGUCUGAAAGUAUCGUACGAAUAAGGAACGGAUAACUCCGUGCCAGCAGACGCGGUAAUACGGAGGAUUCAAGCGUUAUCCGGAUUUAUUGGGUUUAAAGGGUGCGUAGGCGGUCGGAUAAGUUAGAGGUGAAAUCCCGAGGCUCAACUUCGGAAUUGCCUCUGAUACUGUUCGGCUAGAGAGUAGUUGCGGUAGGCGGAAUGUAUGGUGUAGCGGUGAAAUGCUUAGAGAUCAGACAGAACACCGAUUGCGAAGGCGGCUUACCAAGCUACUUCUGACGUUGAGGCACGAAAGCGUGGGGAGCAAACAGGAUUAGAUACCCUUGUAGUC
rnacentral:rRNA from 1 species